AUGCGCUCCCGGGCAUGAUCGGUCAGAAAUGGCCCGUUAUGCUUCGGUCAAUCGCCAUCCUUGUGUAGUAUAUAAUUGUUGCUUUGGCGGGCCGCCCUUUGGGCACCGGCUUCGGCUGGCCCGCGCCCGCCAGAGGACCCUAAACUCUAUAUGUUAGUGAUGUCUGAGUACUAUAUAAUAGUUA
rnacentral:misc_RNA from 2 species